GCCUGCCUCCUCUGGAAGCCAUCUCCUCUCAUUGCCACUCCAAACCCUCACCUUGAGCUGCACUCUUCUAGGGAAUAAGGCAGGCUGCGUCCCCAGCCCAUCUCCAUGAGCUGACAUCAGCUCUGCACAAGGGGCCAGGAUUCCAGAGCCACGGGACAAGGACGAGUUGUUUCCCUGCCUUGAGCCUCAGUUUCCCGAAGCCCUGUCUACACACCGUAGCAAAGAUGAGAUAACGCACUGCUGGAGGAAGUGAAUUGUCAGGCCGCCCACCCACUCGAAAGAUGUUACGCCCAUCCACACAGCCUUCUCAAGAGAGAGCUGGUGGGUCAAGCUAAUUGCUACUGAACUAUUGCUUUCUGCACCUGGUGCUCCAUCAGCCUGUGGUCAUCUUUGGAAUUGGAUGCCCUUGAGUCAGGCGCCCAUCCAUGUCCAACUGGGAUCUCAACUGCAGUCAGGCUGGGGUUCAGCUGCAGGCUCCAGCACACAGCCAGCAUUCCUGCUUCGGUCCUUCCACGGCACAGGGGAACGUGCAUAUGACUGAGUCUUCCUAGCUGCCGAGGAGGAGACGUGAGAAGCAAUGGAGGGGAAACUGAACAUGAGACAUUCGCCUUUCUGACCCCCACUCAUUUCAGCUGCCUGUCACAUCGCCGCAGGAUAGCAACUCUCCUGCGCAGCAGGCAUUCAGGAGCCAGGCCACACACCAGGAUCUGUCCUUCUAUCUAGCACCCUGUGCCUACUCUGAGGUUAGCAACAAGUGGCAACCUCUUCCUUCCUACAGACAAGAAGGUGACUGGCGCUUCCCAGCCCAUUAUUCCAGCCCACGCAGAGUGAGGUUAAUGGAACUGAGAUGAAGCUGGCUGGCGGGAGAGGGAGAGCCCUGAGGGGACCACACAGCUCAUCUUCCAUCCCUCAGCCUGCUCUUCCCCCACCCCAAGCUCUGGGCAUCUCUGUCCAAAGACAGAGAUGGGAAGGGCAGAGGGAUAAAGGGGUCUUACACUCUUACCAACAGAUUCUGCAGGGAGGGGUGCUGUCAGCUUGGUUAUCAUUAGGAAAGAUCAGUUUGUAAUGCCCUUAGACAGUUCUGUGAUUGGCUUGUGGGUACAGACGGAGGUAGACUGCUCAUCUCCACAAUGAAUCUGCUUCUUGGUAGGAGUGGUCCUAAAAGGGCAAGAGAGAAGGAGAGCGCCCACACGGAAUGAAUGGAUCUGGCAGCCUGGAUUCCAGGAAAGAUCUUUGAUGCCUGAGUAGAAAGUGCUUGAAGAGCUACAGACAGGGCUGAGGUCAGAGGUCAGAGGUCAGAGGUAAUCUGUAGUGGAAACAGGAGGUGAGAAAGCCUUCAUCUUCUAGAUGAACUGAGACCGGAACCGCAGAUUUCACAGAUGAAACUGGGCACGCUUCGUAACUCGAGCCCUGGGUAGAGCAUCACACUUGUUGAUCUGAAGGCCAUCCGGCUGCUCAGAUGACUUUCCUGCUGAUGAGGAAAGAAACACCCUCCCGGCUUCACCCCAUGACUUGUUGGGCAAUGGUGCAACACUGAGGUUCAUUGCAGUCUAAGAGACUCUUCCAUGAUCCCGCUCUUUUACCAGUCACAUCCUCCUACAUGGAAUAUACACAAUAUGCACACAC